rnacentral:ncRNA from 1 species
UAUUGUUAUAGUAAUAAAUACUUUAUUCAAAAGUUCUUUAUGUUAAAAGUUAAAUAUUAAUUAAUAGAAGAUUUAUUUUUUUUCUUUGUUAAAAAAAGUUAGAUUUUUGAUAAAUUCUGGCGAAGCCUGUGCCAGCCGCCGCGGUUAUACAAGUAGGGUAAAAGUAUUUUAUUUAUAUAAUAAAUUAAAAAAUUUUAUAAAGAAAAAUGAUGAGGUAAAAUUUUUAUUUUUUUUGUAUAUAAUUAUUUUAAGAAAUUUGUUUUGAAACUAGGAUUAGAUACCCUAUUAUCUAAAAAUGAGAAAUUGGGAGUAGUUUAGGGGUUUUUAAAUCAAAAGAUUUUGGCGGUAUUUUAAGCUCUUUAGAGGAAUUUAUUCUUUAAUUGACAUAACUCAAAAAUCUUACUUGAUUUAGUAAAGUCAGUUUGUAUAUCGCUAUCAUUAAAUGAUAUUAAUGAGUUAUUGUUAGGAUUAAUGUUUUUAAGGAUGUUAGGUCAAAAUGCAGCAGAAAGUUAAGGUUGAAAUAAAUUACAUUGAUUAUUAUCGAUAAUUAUGAAAAUUUUGUAGGAUUUAAUUGUAAAUUUAAAUUAUAAUGUUUAAUUGAAUUGAGCUCUAGAAUAUGCACAUAUCGCCCGUCACUCUCACAUGUGAGAUAAGUCGUAACAUAGUAAAAGUACCGGAAGGUGUUUU